rnacentral:misc_RNA from 1 species
AUAAAAUGAUGGAACGGGACCUGCAAAGUUUAACUAUACGAAUAAGAACUAAACAAGCCGAUGAUGUUUCUCUCAUAUUCGCCGAACCUUCGACCAAAGACAUGGAAACUGUAGUGUCUGACAACUAUCUGAUAAUUUUACUCCGGUCCUUGCUCUGGCCGGAGGAGGAGAAGGAGGUGACUUCGUUGCAAUGUCCAGAGGAGAGGGUAGAGGUAAAACUAGAGACGGAGGCGGGGAACCUAGUUCUUAUCCGGGCUGGAGCUGGCAAGCAGAUACACACUCCGGAUGAUGUUAUGGAUGACGAUGAUGAAGAAGAUGAACCUAAUGAACCUGGAGAUGACUAUGGAAAUCAGACCGAUUUAGAGAAUGACGAAGAUGAAGAGGAGAAUAAGGAUGAGAUUGAUGAAAAGAAGAACGAGGAGAACCAAGAGGAGAAGAAAGAGAAGAUUACAAGAACAAGAACAAGAGGGCAGAAAGCACUGAACAAGACCAGGACAAAUAUCAAAGAUCUGUUGAAAUUAAUAGAAAAGAUUGAUGAUGAUGAAUAUCUAUGUAUUAUGUGCAGCAAAGUAUGGCCGAGUGAGUUAAACGCCCGGAAGCAUGUGCGAGAGCACGAUCUUGAUCCGAGUGCUGAGAAGGAGAGAGCUUGUCAACAUUGCUCUAAGAUAUUCUCCUCUCAAGUCUUGCAUAGAUUACAUGACCACCAGGGCUGUAGCCUGCAGAGGGAGGUCCAUUGCGGAGCAUGUAAGGAAGAGUUUGCUUCUGUUUCACUUUUGGAAUUGCAUAUAAAGUCAGCGCACAAAGAUGGGUUUCAAUGUGAUUUCUGUGAAUAUGUAACCGAUGUAUUAGGACACAAAAUCCUGCACGAGAAAAGAUUGCAUCUAAACAUGGAUUGUAAAAGUUGCACCAAGGUCUUUCAGUCAAACGAUGAAAAAAUUUCGCAUUUCUGUGCCCAUCCAGACCGAUUUCAAUGUGAUCAAUGUGAGAAAAACUACAAAGUAAAAGGAGAAUUAAAAAAGCACAUUGACAGCAUACACCGAGGAAUUAGGUUUCCCUGUUCUACCUGCUCAGAAGUAUUGUCAUCGUCUCAGUCUCUAAAAAGACACGUGAGAACUGUUCAUGAAACAGUGUUCAAAAACUACAGAUGUGAUAUAUGCAGCAAAGCGUUUAAAGACAAUGAGUACCUGUUAAGACACAUGAAGAUUCACGAGGAGAACACCAAAUCCUUUGUGUGCCAGGAAUGCGGGAAAUUCUUUAAGUACAAAGUCACGCUCAGAUCUCAUAUUAGAACAAUGCAUGACAAAAUAUUCAAACAAACUUGUGAAGAAUGCGGGAAAUCGUUUGCAGACAUGCACAAACUCAAGGUCCACGGAGAGAUGGCGCACAUGAAGGGUGAGGUGUACAUGUGCCAGGUGUGCGGAAAAGAGAUGAUUGGAAAGAAUAGAUUAAGAAAUCACAUGAUGACUCAUCCUAAAGGACAGAAGUUUGUUUCCUGUGAACAGUGUGGAAAGGAGGUUCCUGAAACUCAGCUCCGAUCUCAUGUUUCUCAAGCACAUAAAAUGCAGUCAUAUCGUUAUCCCUGUGAUUUUUGCAACAAAAGAUUUGCGACAAAACAGCAUAUUAGAGUUCAUCUCAGGAAGCAUACUGGAUCCAAACCGUUCCAGUGCCGAGCUUGUGGAAAGUAUUUUCCAUUCAUAGUUUCAGUUCGGAAACAUAUUCGAGUAUUUCACGAGGAGAACUAUAGUCUUGUCUUUUAUGAUGUGUCACGUGACGCUAAUAAUCCGUAUAUAACCAGUACUGCAUCCUAACUAUUUAAGAGAUGUUGGAUAAGCUGAAUAUCUAAAUUACACCGUUAAAAGGAAUGUAGGCGUAAUUUCAAGUGACCCUCCAGUUUUACGGCUAUUUGAACAACAUUUUGGAGAUAAACACCCAUAGCUUUCUGCCCUCGAUGAUCAGUCAAAGGUUAAAAUGGUACCGUUGUGAAUCGAGCAUUCCCCUCUUUAAAGUAAAAUAUGAAAUUAAUUCAUACAAAAAUUAUUUUCUUGUUUCCUUGUCUUCUUACCUAUAACGUUAAAUUAUUUUUUCAAAAUUUGAUUUAAAACAAUUUAACGGGCUACGCCGGAAACUCCAGAUAGUAUAAUCAUAAACCACUACAUAAUGAUUAUUUAUUAUAUUUUCAGA